rnacentral:rRNA from 1 species
GGCGCACGGGUGAGUAUCGCGUUUGUAACCUACCCUUAACUGGGGGAUAGCCCGAAGAAAUUCGGAUUAAUACCCCAUAAUAUUUAAGCACGGCAUCGUGCUUUCAUUAAAGCUCCGGCGGUUAAGGAUGGGCAUGCGUGACAUUAGUUAGUUGGUGAGGUAACGGCUCACCAAGACCACGAUGUCUAGGGGGUCUGAGAGGAUGAUCCCCCACACUGGUACUGAGACACGGACCAGACUCCUACGGGAGGCAGCAGUGAGGAAUAUUGGUCAAUGGACGCAAGUCUGAACCAGCCAUGCCGCGUGCAGGAUGACGGCCCUAUGGGUUGUAAACUGCUUUUAUACAGGAAGAAACCCUUCUACGUGUAGAAGGUUGACUGUACUGUAAGAAUAAGCAUCGGCUAACUCCGUGCCAGCAGCCGCGGUAAUACGGAGGAUGCAAGCGUUAUCCGGAUUCAUUGGGUUUAAAGGGUGCGUAG